AGAGGUGCAGCUGCUGGUUGCAUCCAUGCUGUUGCUGCUAAGCGUAUGGAUCCGAAAGCAAAACUCACUCUUUUGCAGAGCCUUCAGAUAAGAAGGGUUUUCAGUUUGGUAGCCGAGGAUAAUGACUCCGAGUUGGUAUCAAGUAUUACUUCUUUGCUUACUGGAUAUUCAACUUGAGGAUAAUGACUCCGAGUUGGUAUCAAGUGUUGGUUCUUUGCUUACUGGAUAUUCAACUGAGGUUUUGGAGUGUUUGAAGCGUUUGAACUCUGAGGAUGGGAAAGCUCUCUCGACUGAACUAUUGAAUGAGGUUUUGCCC
rnacentral:lncRNA from 1 species